rnacentral:rRNA from 1 species
CAAUAGCGUAUAUUAAAGUUGUUGCAGUUAAAAAGCUCGUAGUUGGAUUUCGGGGCAGCCUGGCUGGUCCGCCGCAAGGCGAGUACUGGUCAGCCGCCCUUCCUCUCGAAAGCCCCGACUGCUCUUCGUUGCAGUGGUCGGGUAGUUCGGGACGUUUACUUUGAAAAAAUUAGAGUGUUCAAGGCAGGCCUACGCCUGAAUACAUUAGCAUGGAAUAAUGGAAGAGGACCUCGGUCCUAUUUUGUUGGUUUCCAGGGCCGAAGUAAUGAUUAAGGGGGACAGUUGGGGGCAUUCGUAUUUAAUUGUCAGAGGUGAAAUUCUCGGAUUUAUGAAAGACGAACAACUGCGAAAGCAUUUGCCAAGGAUGUUUUCAUUAA